rnacentral:rRNA from 1 species
UCCCGGCGCCACAAGUAGGGACCAGGGUUAUUGGGCCUAAAGCGUUCGUAGCAGGUCUUGUAAAUCUCUUGUGAAAUCGUUGGGCUUAACCUAACGGCGUGCAGGAGAAACUGCUAGACUAGAGACCGGGAGGGGUCAGGGGUAUUCCUUGGGGAGCGGUAAAAUGCUAUAAUCCUUGGAAGACCACCUGUGGCGAAGGCGCCUGACCAGAACGGGUCUGACUGUGAGGGACGAAAGCCAGGGGAGCAAUCCGG